AGAGUUUGAUCAUGGCUCAGAACGAACGCUGGCGGCAGGCUUAACACAUGCAAGUCGAACGCUCGUAGCAAUACGGGAGUGGCAGACGGGUGAGUAACGCGUGGGAACAUACCCUCCGGUUCGGAAUAGCUCAGGGAAACUUGGAUUAAUACCGGAUACGGCUGAGAGGCGAAAGAUUUAUCGCCGGAGGAUUGGCCCGCGUUCGAUUAGCUAGUUGGUGAGGUAACGGCUCACCAAGGCUAUGAUCGAUAGCUGGUCUGAGAGGAUGAUCAGCCACAUUGGGACUGAGACACGGCCCAAACUCCUACGGGAGGCAGCAGUGGGGAAUAUUGGACAAUGGGCGCAAGCCUGAUCCAGCCAUGCCGCGUGAGUGAUGACGGCCUUAGGGUUGUAAAGCUCUUUCGCUCGGGACGAUAAUGACGGUACCGAGAUAAGAAGCCCCGGCUAACUUCGUGCCAGCAGCCGCGGUAAUACGAAGGGGGCUAGCGUUGUUCGGAAUUACUGGGCGUAAAGCGCGUGUAGGCGGGUCUUUAAGUCAGGGGUGAAAUGCCAGGGCUCAACCUUGGAACUGCCUUUGAUACUGGAGACCUUGAGUCCGGGAGAGGUGAGUGGAAUUGCGAGUGUAGAGGUGAAAUUCGUAGAUAUUCGCAAGAACACCAGUGGCGAAGGCGGCUCACUGGCCCGGAACUGACGCUGAGACGCGAAAGCGUGGGGAGCAAACAGGAUUAGAUACCCUGGUAGUCCACGCUGUAAACGAUGGAUGCUAGCCGUUGGGGAGCUUGCUCUUCAGUGGCGCAGCUAACGCUUUAAGCAUCCCGCCUGGGGAGUACGGUCGCA
rnacentral:rRNA from 1 species